GGGCUGUUUUUCUUUACAAAUGUCAUCUGAAAACAAACACUUACUGGCUCUGCCCGGCUGCCCCGACCCCUGGGAGAGUGGGGGCAGGGACCAGGCCUGGCCACCCCCGUCCAGGUGGCUGGAGACUCUUCCAGGCCAGACUGGCCUCUGACCCUCCUUUGCUGCCCGUGCCACACCAGUCAGGCCAGUGUCUUCCCUGGCCAGAAGGCUCUGGCCUCACCCCAUUUGCCACCCAGAACUGGGGAAGGACCCGCCUGGCCCGGCCAGUGGCCCCUGAAGCCGUCUUUCUCCCACGGGCCAUCCCUGGCUCAACCCUGUGCCCAGGGCAGGGUCAGGCCCAGUGGGUCUCUCUGUGGAGGGAAGGGCUGCCUGGGAUAUCUGGGGGCGGUGAGGGGGCGUCCCAGCCGCAACCCUUCCCUGGGCCUCAUGUGGGCACCACCCCUCCCUUACACGCUGGGCUCUGGGAGCGGGUGGGACCCUCCUCCGCCGGAGCUGUGAGGUUUUUCUUCCAGAAGGCUCGCACAGGGGUUCCCGCCCACAGCCUCGGCUUGGAACCUGAGGGCUCUGAGGCUUCCUGGGGGGGUUGUGCGGCCUUGCACUGUGGGUCCUCCCAGCUCGGCAGCCCUCUGCGGAGGCAAUGUGGCACUUUGUCCUCUUGGAGCAAAAAGCAGCCCCUGCACCGUCCCUCCCAGGGUCCAUCCCAGGACCCCAGGGACCACCCGGGGGUCCAAGGGUGGUGGGGACCGCCCUCCCGACAAAGCUUCUUUGCACUCCUGCUCACUGUGCUUUGCCCCCAGGUGCACCAAGGGAUCCUGCAGGAAGCCUGUGGGCUGGAACUGGGGGGUGUGUCUGGGGCAGCAGUGUCUGGACCCUGGCCUGCCUGAGGGCUGGGAGCUUGGACCACAGGCCUCAGGAGUCAGGAGAGGGCCACCACUCUCCCUUCCCCUCGCCACGGUGGUCCCAGGCAGGAGGGAGCAGGCAAAGCAGCAAAGCCGGCAUGGGCUUUGUGGCACACACUGGCCCGGGGUCUUUGGCUGGGCUAGGGUCACCUGAAGCUGGUGCCUGUGGGCGCCAUUUUCUGGAUGCUCCCCUGGUUUCUCAGUGCUGUGGGGAGGGGGAAUGCCCCAUGCUUCCUGCCUUGUCUUCGCCUGCCCCCACCCCAAGCUCCACUGGGCGGGGAGGAGAGGGGCACCUCCGUGGGACUCAGCUAUCCCCCGAACUCCCACAGGAGCUCCAGGCCCAGAGUCCCCAGGAGGGAGCAGCCGGCAGCACCGUUUCCGCCGUGGAGAUGGGGCGUCCUGGUUUGAGUUCACUCCUUUCCAGGUGGAGCUGACGCCUUGAGACCAAGGCCAGGCCCCCCAGGCCCCAGGGCUCUGAGGCACUUUCUUGGGUCGGUGUGCUGGAUGGAAGUAGGGCUGUAUUUCCUAAGUCCUGCAGGGCAGACCUGGCCUCUGGAGGUAGGAUGCGUGGAACGUGGUGGAGCCAGCGAGUAGGGGAACGGGGACCUCCUCAGGGUGUCACUCUCUUGCCCAGGCUGGAGUGCAGUGGUGCGAUCAUGGCUUGCUACAGCCUCAACACCCUGGGCUCACACGAUCCUCUCGCCUCAGCCUCCCACAGAACUGGGGAUGCAGGUGCCUGCCGCUGCGCCUGACUGGUUUUUGGUAGAGAUGGGGUCUCACUGUGUUGCUCAGGCUGGUCUCCAACUCCUGGACUCAAGCUGUCUGCCCAC